UGGCUCAGAGCGAACGCUGGCGGCAGGCCUAACACAUGCAAGUCGAACGGAUCCUUCGGGAUUAGUGGCGGACGGGUGAGUAACACGUGGGAACGUGCCUUUUGGUUCGGAACAACUCAGGGAAACUUGAGCUAAUACCGAAUGUGCCCUUCGGGGAAAGAUUUAUCGCCAUUAGAGCGGCCCGCGUCUGAUUAGCUUGUUGGUGAGGUAAAGGCUCACCAAGGCUACGAUCAGUAGCUGGUCUGAGAGGAUGAUCAGCCACAUUGGGACUGAGACACGGCCCAAACUCCUACGGGAGGCAGCAGUGGGAAUCUUGCGCAAUGGGCGAAAGCCUGACGCAGCCAUGCCCGCGUGAAUGAUGAAGGUCUUAGGAUUGUAAAAUUCUUUCACCGGGGACGAUAAUGACGGUACCCGGAGAAGAAGCCCCGGCUAACUUCGUG
rnacentral:rRNA from 1 species